GGAAUUAGUUCAGUUGGUAGAACGCUGGUCUCCAAAACCAGAUGUCGUGAGUUCAAGUCUUACAUUCC
rnacentral:tRNA from 1 species